CACACCCGUUCCCAUACCGAACACGGAAGUUAAGCUUCUCAGCGCCGAUGGUAGUUGGGGGUCUCCCCCUGUGAGAGUAGGACGCCGCCGGGC
rnacentral:rRNA from 1 species